CAAGAAACGAGGCCGCGUGCGCUCGCCCGCCCGGCCCCGCUCCUUACCUUGCCUACUGCACCGUUUGUUGCUUCCUGGCGGCGGACUGCCCGCCUCCAGGGACGUUGAUACAACCCUGUAUAGAAGCAUUGAAGCUCUGAGAAAACGCGAAAUCAUA
rnacentral:misc_RNA from 1 species